CCGGGGCCCCUUAAGCUCCGUGUUUUGUCGAUCGUGCGGAACAUAAGGGCCCCUGGGA
rnacentral:pre_miRNA from 1 species